GUGAGAUAUGAAGACUUCCACUGAGUUAGCCAACCAGUUAAAGAUUUUAUCUACAAGGUAACAGACACCUCUUACUCCAAGAAGAUCACUCAACCCUGGGCUUCUCACGGUCCCUCCAUUCACUGAAGACCCUGCUCACACACCAUCUUCAAGAUAAAAUCUUCCCUGGGGACUUCCAGUGCCAAGAUGGUGGAGUAAAGAAGGAAUCCUCUGCAGCCCUCCCAAACUCCCCUCCAAACAACUAAAAACUUGCCUCAGAAUUGAUGUAGGGAAACAGCUUACCUGCAUGGCAGGAAAGGUCUGUAUCAUUGGGUUGGGAGGGGAGUAAGGUCCAAGAGCAGCAGCAGCCAGCCUCACAACAGGGGGCCUACAGCAAGGCUCCAGCCUGGGGCAAUUCACCAGUGAGUCCCCACCCUCCUGCAGACCCGCAGACCCCUAGGCAAGUGAGCAGUAUGCAGCUUAGCAAGGCCCCACCCUAGCCACCCAUCCCUAGCACAAGCCACCAGCCAGGCCUGACCAGCAGUGAGGUCCUGACCUGAGGCUGGCCAACAGAGAUACCCCACCCCUGGGGCCUAGGAGCAGAGAGAUGCUGUUUCCAUUGCCACCCAGCAGCAGGGUUCUUCAGGGUCAGGGCCAGAAUUUGAACCCAUGUCUCCUAUCCCCAAACCCAGGGAUCUUUCUAUGUGGUCAGUGUCACCUGGUGACAGGUGACAGGACAGCUGGGCUCCUCCUCUCUCAGAGGACGCACAGCAGCCGUUGGGAGAAGGGGCACACAGCUUUAUCAGAGCAAACUUGAUUUAGAUAAACUUUUCCUGCCUCCUCUAACUUUUCCUUUCCUCCCAACCUGGCCACAUCCACCCUAUCCAGUUGUGUCUCCCCUUGUUCCCUUCUGCCCUCCCUACAUUCCCAUCAGCCUGGACAGAUGACAACAUCAUCGCCCUCAUGUCCCACCAUUUGCCUUUGCUCACACAGUUCCCCCUGCCUGGGAAGCCUUCCCCACCUUCAUUAAUCACAUUCCUGCACAUCCUUGAAGCCCAGCUCAGAUCCUGGCUGCUCCAGGAUGCAGUCUCUAACUGCAUCAAUUGGCACUGUCCUGGCCCUUGGCCUUCCCAGCAUGGUGCUUACACAUCUUUAAUGUGCCUCCUCUAGCAUCAGGAUCUUUCCCACCACCCCAGGCCGCCGUCCAUCUGGCCUGUAUUAGAAGGCAGCCUGCUGACAGGGAAGGAGCCUGAGGUCAGAGCUUGCAGCAGGGGAUUCAAACAUCUGUCCCCCACAGGAGCCUUCCCCAAACCUUCCAUUUCAGUCUCACCUGGAACAACAGUGACCAUCUGGUGCCAAAAGUCACCACAGGCAAGAUCUCAGGACUAUGGCUUUUCCCUACUGAAGGCAAGGAGCCCGGGGCCCUCCCAGCAACGGAGCCCUGCAGGG